GCUAAAGUGAAGACUUCAUUCUUGCUAGAGAUUGAUAGAGAAAAGUGAGUCCCUGGGCACAGCCUGUCUUGCAGACAGCAGAAAGCUACUUUGGAACGUCCCUCUGGAGCGAGCAUUUAUUGAGUUCUUACUGGGGGCAAAGUGCCAGGUCAGGCCUUGGUCAAGUUCCUCCCUGCAGCAGAUGGUAUGGUGGAUGAAGUUUUGUGUUUGCUGUACUGACCUGAAGUGACGAACAACCACAUACAUCUUUGUCUUCACUCUGUCCAGCUGUCAACUGCAUUGUUCCCUCACGUCUUCCUGCAAAGUACCAUUAUUUCCACACCUUAAGAAUGAAAGAGUGAAGAGAAAACGACAAAAUGUUCUUGUUUAUCAGGAGAUGGGGGUGAGCUGAGCUUUCCACAAGGUCCUGAAUG